GUGUUCGUAGUUUAAAGGUAAAAUUACUGUCUUCGGAACAGAGGAUAGGGGUUCGAUUCCCUUCGGACAUU
rnacentral:tRNA from 4 species